AUUGAACGCUGGCGGCAGGCUUAACACAUGCAAGUCGAGCGGAGAUGAGGUGCUUGCACCUUAUCUUAGCGGCGGACGGGUGAGUAAUGCUUAGGAAUCUGCCUAUUAGUGGGGGACAACAUUCCGAAAGGAAUGCUAAUACCGCAUACGUCCUACGGGAGAAAGCAGGGGAUCUUCGGACCUUGCGCUAAUAGAUGAGCCUAAGUCGGAUUAGCUAGUUGGUGGGGUAAAGGCCUACCAAGGCGAUGAUCUGUAGCGGGUCUGAGAGGAUGAUCCGCCACACUGGGACUGAGACACGGCCCAGACUCCUACGGGAGGCAGCAGUGGGGAAUAUUGGACAAUGGGGGGAACCCUGAUCCAGCCAUGCCGCGUGUGUGAAGAAGGCCUUAUGGUUGUAAAGCACUUUAAGCGAGGAGGAGGCUACUGAGACUAAUACUCUGGGAUAGUGGACGUUACUCGCAGAAUAAGCACCGGCUAACUCUGUGCCAGCCGCCGCCGUAAGAC
rnacentral:rRNA from 1 species